rnacentral:rRNA from 1 species
CCUACGGGCGGCUGCAGUGGGGAAUAUUGGACAAUGGGCGAAAGCCUGAUCCAGCCAUGCCGCGUGUGUGAAGAAGGCCUUCGGGUUGUAAAGCACUUUCAGUGGGGAAGAAAGCCUUGGGGCUAAUACCCUCGAGGAAGGACAUCACCCACAGAAGAACCACCGGCUAACUCCGUGCCAGCAGCCGCGGUAAUACGGAGGGUGCGAGCGUUAAUCGGAAUUACUGGGCGUAAAGCGCGCGUAGGCGGUCUGAUAAGCCGGUUGUGAAAGCCCCGGGCUCAACCUGGGAACGGCAUCCGGAACUGUCAGGCUAGAGUGCAGGAGAGGAAGGUAGAAUUCCCGGUGUAGCGGUGAAAUGCGUAGAGAUCGGGAGGAAUACCAGUGGCGAAGGCGGCCUUCUGGACUGACACUGACGCUGAGGUGCGAAAGCGUGGGUAGCAAACAGGAUUAGAUACCCUGGUAGUC